UGAAUGAAGAGUUUGAUCCUGGCUCAGGAUGAACGCUGACAGAAUGCUUAACACAUGCAAGUCUAUGAGAAGACUUCCUUCGGGGAGAGGUAUCAUGGCGGACGGGUGAGUAACGCGUAAAG
rnacentral:rRNA from 1 species